UGGCUUUGGCAGCACUUAUGCAAAGAUUGGAACAGUACAGAGAAGAUUAGCAUGGCCCCAAGAAGGGACGAUGUGCAAAUUUGCAACGCAUUCCAUUUUUUU